rnacentral:rRNA from 1 species
GACAGAGGGUGCAAACGUUGUUCGGAAUUACUGGGCGUAAAGCGCGUGUAGGCGGCCCUGCAAGUCGGGUGUGAAAUCCCACGGCUCAACCGUGGAAGUGCACUCGAAACUGCAGAGCUAGAGUCCUGGAGAGGAAGGUGGAAUGCUUGGUGUAGAGGUGAAAUUCGUAGAUAUCGGGAGGAACACCAGUGGCGAAGGCGACUACCUGGCCUGUUUCUUGACGCUGAGGCGCGAAAGCUAGGGGAGCAAACGGG